rfam:Ornithorhynchus anatinus chromosome 3, whole genome shotgun sequence.
AGCAGCGUAGCUCAGCGGAAAGAGCCCGGGCUUGGGAGUCAGAUGUCAUGGGUUCGAAUCCCAGCUCUGCCA